rnacentral:rRNA from 1 species
UACGAAGGGGGCUAGCGUUGCUCGGAAUUACUGGGCGUAAAGGGCGCGUAGGCGGACAGUUUAGUCAGAGGUAAAAGCCCAGGGCUCAACCUUGGAACUGCCCUUGAUACUGGCUAUCUUGAGUACGGAAGAGGUAUGUGGAACUCCGAGUGUAGAGGUGAAAUUCGUAGAUAUUCGCAAGAACACCAGUGGCGAAGGCGGCUCACUGGCCCGAUACUGACGCUGAGGCACGAAAGCGUGGGGAGCAAACAGG